rnacentral:rRNA from 1 species
CCUACGGGAGGCAGCAGUGAGGAAUAUUGGUCAAUGGGCGGGAGCCUGAACCAGCCAUGCCUCGUGAAGGCGAAUGCCCUACGGGCGUUAAACUUCUUUUGUGCGGGAGCACUAAGGGCCACGUGUGGCCCGAUGAGAGUACCGCACGAAUAAGCAUCGGCUAACUCCGUUCCCGCAGCCGCGGUAAUACGGGGGAUGCGAGCGUUAUCCGGAUUUAUUGGGUUUAAAGGGUGAGUAGGCGGAGCUUCAGGUAAGCGGUGAAAUAUCGGGGCUUAACCCCUGGGCUGCCGUUGAAACCGGGGCGCUAGAAUUCCGAUGCCGUCGGAGGAAUGUGUGGUGUAGCGGUGAAAUGCAUAGAUAUCACACAGAACACCGAUUGCGAAGGCAUCUGACGAAUCGGAGAUUGACGCUGAUGCACGAAAGCGUGGGUAUCGAACAGGAUUAGAUACCCCUGUAGUC